AGCCAGCUGCCAUGUCAUGAGAACACUCAAGCAGCACUUUAGAGAGGCCCAUGUGGCAAGGGAUGGUGGCCUGCUGCCAGCAACUAGUGCUAACUUGCCAGACAUGUUAGUGAGUCACCUUAGGUCCCCCUCCUCUGUCAACACUCCAAACACCUGCAGACUUGGCAUCGUGACUGCAGCCUCAUGAGAGACCCUCGGCCAGAAACACCCAGCUAAGCUGCUCCCAGAUUACUGAACCCUGAAACCAUAUGGACAGAUGUGUUAUUUCCAGGGAGAGGCCUUAAGGACAAGGUAUCUUAAAACCAAAUUUCUUACAUCUUAUAACCUGUUCAACUCCAAUGCCAGAAAGUGCCUGCACCUUCUCCCACCUUCGAAUGGA